AUUGAACGCUGGCGGCAGGCCUAACACAUGCAAGUCGAGCGGUAACACAGGGAGCUUGCUCCUGGGUGACGAGCGGCGGACGGGUGAGUAAUGUCUGGGAAACUGCCUGAUGGAGGGGGAUAACUACUGGAAACGGUAGCUAAUACCGCAUAAUGUCGCAAGACCAAAGAGGGGGACCUUCGGGCCUCCUGCCAUCAGAUGUGCCCAGAUGGGAUUAGCUAGUAGGUGGGGUAACGGCUCACCUAGGCGACGAUCCCUAGCUGGUCUGAGAGGAUGACCAGCCACGCUGGAACUGAGACACGGUCCAGACUCCGACGGGAGGCAGCAGUGGGGAAUAUUGCACAAUGGGCGCAAGCCUGAUGCAGCCAUGCCGCGUGUAUGAAGAAGGCCUUCGGGUUGUAAAGUACUUUCAGCGGGGAGGAAGGCGAUAAGGUUAAUAACCUUGUCGAUUGACGUUACCCGCAGAAGAAGCACCGGCUAACUCCGUGCCAGCAGCCGCCGUAA
rnacentral:rRNA from 1 species